GCUAAAUUACCAGCCUUUCUUCUACAAAAAAUCAGAAUCCAAACCAAAGUUUCGUAAUUUAUAUUCAAACUAGUAAUCCCAACAUUGUAACUUGAAUUUAACCUCCAAAGCUUGAAUCUUUCACAUCCGAGAUGGCACAAGUUUUGUUCUUGAUUGGACUUUUUCUGCUCGAAGACCUGGAAAAAAUGAAGUGUUUUCUUCAACACGUGUACGGCGAUGAUCGUGUUACCAUUGGAAUUGUGAUACAGCCAUUCAAGAGGUUGGGCCUCCAGAUGUGAUGAUUCUCAGCCCAAAGAAAGGCCCAGGCGUGACAAGAACUUUCUUCUAGCAAUACACCAUAAUAGCAUUAACCACUCCUUUUCUCUUUGCAAGCGAUUCUACUCUGGAUUUCGAACCAACCUUUUCUGCUUAAUCUAAGACAGGGAAUGAGACACCCUCUCGAGACAGAGGAUCUCGUUACCCCAGCUGUUUCAUGGAAAAAUCGAAGAGCUUUCUUCAACAUGUGUAUGGCCAUGAUCAAGUUACCACUGGAAUUGGAGAUAUGAAUAUGAAAAAUUAAAAUAUGCUUAAUUUAUUUCCUCUUCAUUCAGCUUUGGCCUUAAAAUCUUCCAUAUUUUGAAACCAACCUUUUCUGCGCACGAGCAAUUGACUCUACUUCGGAUUUCAAACCAACCUUUUCUGCUAAUCCAUUGUAAAUGUGGGAACUUUGCCUUUAUUUUGAUACUGUUUUGUAUGAUUGUUCGCUUAUUGUUGAUGAAUGCUUGAAUGGUCAUGGUUGUAUGACUGCCUUUUUUGCAACUACUUCCCAUAAUCGAAUGCUUCUUACCUCCACUGAACAAGAAAUGCAUGCUUUUAGGUUCACAAUGAGUAGCCUUUUUUCUCUCUAAGGGUAAAAUUGGAUUGAAAAGGAAGAGGAAGAGAUUCCUCACAAGAAAUUUUUGCAGAGACUGCUGUUCAGUUCUUGUGUGGGUUAAGGUCAGCCACUACUUCAUUCCUUCCAGCUCUACUUCUGUAUUUAUUAUCAUUUUAUUAAAUUUUGAUUGUUUAAUAAUUUUAAUAACAGUCAUUGUUUGAAACUAUUCUCAUUUUCAACUAGAUAUUUUGGAUGUCAUGUUUUGAUUUAUCUCUCAUAUAGGGGUUUUUUUUUUUUGAGAUAUUAUAUGUGGCCUCAUGUAUUGUGUUGACAACAUGAUUUGGAUAUUGGGUUCUUGAGUUUUUAGUAUAUUUUGUCCUAUGAGCAAACAAGUUUCUUUUUAUGUGAUGCCAUUUUUAAGUUAUUAGUUUUGACUCGAAAGCUUAGUUGAUCAUGGCAGAAAUGGUGAGCUUAUGUGAUUUGCCAAGUGAAAUAGUGGAGAAAAUCAUGUUGUGGGUACCUGCCGAUUCUCUAGUACAACUUAAAUCUGUGAACAAGUUUUGGUAUUCUCUUAUUUCCGCUUUCAUCUUCGACCCAGAAUUUGUCGCCAAGCACCUCCUCGUUACCAAAAACCAGCCCUUCCCCCCAUGUUGAUCAUCGCAUAGUCACAUGCCCAUUGUUCACUAUAAUCUUCGAUGAUGAUGAUCAUCAUCAUCUUAUAACUGUCUCUGAACCUCUCAGCAUACCACUUUUUCUUAAUGAAAGGAGCAAGGAUAUGAAUAAAUGGCAUAAGAUGUAUCACUGUGAUGGACUCAUUUUGCUAGUAAAUAAUAUUCUUGGGACUAUGGUGUUAUGUAAUCCUGCUUUGAAAGAAUCAAUGAUUCUCCCAGAACCAAAGAAUGUUCAAACUGAAGCUUAUCCCAGUAUAGGAUUUGAACUUGAUUCUAAAAACAACAAAUACAAAUGUGUUGCCAUUUGGUGUGGUUACAAAGAAUGUCAAGCACAGGUAUACACAGUGGGUUCUGAUUCUUGGAGAGAGAUCAACAUGUCUCAAGACAUAACAGAUGCCAUAGUGUGUAAUGAACUAUGCUAUGAUUUAUGUUGGGGAGGUGUUUGUUACUGGAUGUUGGCGCAAGACCAAACUGAAAUAAUCCUCAGUUUUGAUAUGAAUAAUGAGGAAUUCAGAUUAGGGCUGAGUAUCGAUCGGUUUGGGCGGUUUUUUUCUAUUCUAUAAUUUAGAUUUCGGUUUUCGGUUUGAAUUGGUACGAUCCAAAAAUCGACCGACCUACUUACAACACACACAAAAAUCGACCGAUUCAGAUCGCGGUUCGGUCGGUUAAAACUGCCCAAACGAACUUGUUUUUUUUUUUUUAAAUCAGUUUUAGGGAAAUUUAAGUAAAAAAAUGUAGAUUGUUGGAAUUUUUUUUUUAGCUUUUUUUCUUUAAUAUGAAAUUAAUUCAUUUAAUUUGUUAAAUUAAAGAUUUUAACUUUAUUAUUUGAAAACCUAAACACAUGGUUACAUUGUUAUAUCCACAAAUUUGGAACCUAAGCAUAUUCAGUCGGUUUCGGUUUGUACGGUCGGUUUGUAUAAAUCGACCGAUUUAAUGUCGGUUUUUGCCAAGGCAGUUUCAGCGGUUUUUAGUUCCGUCGGUUCCAGAUUUUUCGAUGUUCGAAUAGUCGGUUUGAGCGAUUUAUUCGGUUUUUUUGGAUUUUUGUAAACAACCCUAUGCCAGAUUUCGAAGCUUUCGGCGUUGAAGAUUGGGCGCCUCAACAUUGUCCACCUUGCAAUGUGGAAUGAUUCAGUGGUGAUGUCUUUGGCCCCCUAUUUCUAUAGCAACAUCAUUUUUAUCUUCGCGAUGGAUGAAGCCGUAGCAAGUGCUUGUUCCUGGACCAAACUUGGGCAGGUUGGACCACUGGAAAAGUAUUACCAUGACUUCCUACCAUUUUGGAAGAAUGACGAGAUUCUAAUGGAAGUCUUCGAGGAUGGUACGAGCGUUCGACAGAUGGAUUCUUGCAACGUUGGUACCCAAAAGUUAAGAAAUGUUUAUGAUCUAGAUAGAAAUGGAUUUUAUUAUUAUUGGGCUUGUGUCUAUGUAAAGAGUCUGAUUUCUAUUAGGAGGAGGUGAAGUUCACUCCUAAACAACAAGAAAACUUAGAAGAAAAUACAGGUAGAUUUAUAUCCAAGAGCAACAGGAUUAACAUUCAUUUUCAUUUUUAGGAUUUAUGUUUGAAUUUUUGAUAUGUUGGCAAUGGCA